GGAUAGGACAGUCGCGGAUCAUGGUUGAUGAAAGGGUAAAGUCCUUUCAUGCCUGUGACCCGGACGGGCGAUGUAAGUCGUGGCCCGGAGAAGGGAACUGAGACAAGGUCCCUAGCCCCACGGGGUGCAGCAGUUACGAAACCUCACCAAUGCGCGAAAGCGUGAGUGGGCCAAGCCGAGUGAUGGGAGAUAAUUCCAUCUGUGGCGAAACCGUAGUAAGGUUCGCUAGAAAGGAGAGGGCAAGGCUGGUGCCAGCCGCCGCGGUAAAACCAGCUCUUCGAGUGGUGUCCAUGAUUAUUGAGCUUAAAGCGUUCGUAGCCUGUUUGGUAGGUUCCUGCUCAAAUCCGGUCGCUUAACGGUCGGACUGGUAGGAAUACCGCCUUACUUGGGGACGGGAGACGGCGACGGUAUUCCGUAGGUAAGGGUGAAAUCUAAUGAUCUACGGAGGACCACCAGUGGCGAAGGCGGUCGUCGAGAACGUGCCCGACGGUGAGGGACGAAACCCAGGGGAGCAAAUCGGAUUAGAUACCCGAGUAGUCCUGGGCGUAAACGAUGCCCGUUAAGUGUUGCAUUGGCCACGAGCCACUGCAGUGCUGUAGCGAAAGCGAUAAACGGGCCGCUUGGGAAGUACGGUCGCAAGACUGAAACUUAAAGGAAUUGGCGGGGGAGCACCACAAGGGGUGGAGCUUGCGGUUUAAUUGGACAACGCCGGAAAUCUUACCCGCCCAGACAGCCGAAUGAGAGCCAGACUGAUGAUCUUGCUCGACGAGCUGAGAGCUGGUGCAUGGCCAUCGUAAAUUCGUGCCGUGAGGUAUCAGCUUAAGUGCUGCAACGAAUGAGAUCCCUGCCACCUAGUUGCCAGCCGGGGGCUUCGGCCCUGACGGGGCACACUAGGGGGACCGCUAGCGAGAAGCUGGAGGAAGGUGGGGGCCACGGUAGGUCAGUAUGCCGCGAUAUGGGCGGGGCCACACGCGUGCUACAAUGGCUGGGACAAUGCGUCACAACACCGAAAGGUGAAGUCAAUCGCGAAACCCAGUCGUAGUUGGAAUCGGGGGUUGGAACUCACCCCCGUGAACCUGGAAUCCCUAGUAUCCGCGUGUCACUAUCGCGCGGAGAAUACGUCCCUGCUUCUUGCACACACCGCCCGUCGCUCCAUGCGAGCGGAUCUGGGGUGAGGCAUCGUCCACUGGGCGCUGACGAAUCUUGGGUUCGCAAGUAGGGAGAAGUCGUAACAAGGUA
rnacentral:rRNA from 1 species